UACGUAGGGUGCAAGCGUUAAUCGGAAUUACUGGGCGUAAAGCGUGCGCAGGCGGUUGUGCAAGACAGAUGUGAAAUCCCCGGGCUCAACCCUGGGAAUUGCAUUUGUGACUGCACGGCUAGAGUGUGUCAGAGGGGGGUAGAAUUCCACGUGUGAGCAAGUGAAAUGCGUAGAGAUGAUGGAGGAAUACCGAUGGCGAAGGCAGCCCC
rnacentral:rRNA from 1 species